rnacentral:rRNA from 1 species
UACGGAGGGGGCUAGCGUUGUUCGGAAUUACUGGGCGUAAAGCGCGCGUAGGCGGACCUGCAAGUCGGGGGUGAAAGCCCGAGGCUCAACCUCGGAACUGCCUUCGAUACUGCGGGUCUCGAGUCCGGGAGAGGUGAGUGGAAUUCCUAGUGUAGAGGUGAAAUGCGUAGAUAUCAGGAGGAACACCGGUGGUGUAGACGGCUCUCUGGACCGUAACUGACGCUGAGACACGAAAGCGUGGGUAGCAAACAGG